rnacentral:siRNA from 1 species
CGGUGUUACAACGAAGUGCUUCGU